rnacentral:rRNA from 1 species
CCUACGGGUGGCAGCAGUGGGGAAUAUUGGACAAUGGGGGGAACCCUGAUCCAGCGACGCCGCGUGAGUGAAGAAGUAUUUCGGUAUGUAAAGCUCUAUCAGCAGGGAAGAAAGAAAUGACGGUACCUGACUAAGAAGCCCCGGCUAACUACGUGCCAGCAGCCGCGGUAAUACGUAGGGGGCAAGCGUUAUCCGGAUUUACUGGGUGUAAAGGGAGCGUAGACGGCGAUGCAAGUCUGAAGUGAAAGGCGGGGGCCCAACCCCCGGACUGCUUUGGAAACUGUAUGGCUGGAGUGCAGGGGAGGUAAGUGGAAUUCCUAGUGGAGCGGUGAAAUGCGUAGAUAUUAGGAGGGACACCAGUGGCGAAGGCGGCUUACUGGACUGUAACUGACGUUGAGGCUCGAAAGCGUGGGGAGCAAACAGGAUUAGAUACCCCUGUAGUC